rnacentral:rRNA from 1 species
UUAAAGUCUAACCUGCCCACUGAAAAUUUAAAUGGCCGCAGUAUUCUAACUGUGCAAAGGUAGCAUAAUCAUUAGUCUUUUAAUUGAAGGCUGGAAUGAAUGGUUGGACGAAAUAUUAACUGUUUCAUUUAAAAUUUAAAUAGAAUUUUAUUUUUUAGUCAAAAAGCUAAAAUAAAUUUAAAAGACGAGAAGACCCUAUAAAUCUUUAUAUUUUGUUUAUUUUAAUUAUAAAGAUUAUUUUUAUUAUAAUAAAUUAAAAUAUUUUAUUGGGGUGAUAUUAAAAUUUAAAAAACUUUUAAUUUUUAAAACCAUUAAUUUAUGAAUAAUUGAUCCAUUAAUAAUGAUUAAAAAUUUAAGUUACUUUAGGGAUAACAGCGUAAUUUUUUUGGAGAGUUCAUAUCGAUAAAAAAGAUUGCGACCUCGAUGUUGGAUUAAGAUAUAAUUUUGGGUGUAGCCGUUCAAAUUUUAAGUCUGUUCGACUUUUAAAUUCUUACAUGAUCUGAGUUCAAACCGGCGUAAGCCAGGUUGGUUUCUAUCUUUAAAAAAUUAUAAUAUUUUAGUACGAAAGGACCAAAUAUUAAAAUAAUUAUAUUUUUAAUAUGAAUAUUAUUAAUUUGU